UACAGAGGGGGCAAGCGUUGUUCGGAAUUACUGGGCGUAAAGGGCGCGUAGGCGGCCACCGCAAGUCGACUGUGAAAUCUCCGGGCUUAACCCGGAAAGGUCAGCCGAUACUGCGGGGCUAGAGUGCAGAAGGGGCAACUGGAAUUCUCGGUGUAGCGGUGAAAUGCGUAGAUAUCGAGAGGAACACCUGCGGCGAAGGCGGGUUGCUGGGCUGACACUGACGCUGAGGCGCGAAAGCUAGGGGAGCGAACGGA
rnacentral:rRNA from 1 species